AUAGUCAUACGUGGUGGCAUUGAUGGGUACAGCUGCCUCGUUGUGUUUCUCCGUGCUUCCAGCAACAAUCGCAGCAGUACUGUAAUGGAUUGCUUCAUGAAUGCUGUCUCCAGAUAUGGCGUUCCCUCCAGAGUUAGGACGGACCAUGGAGGAGAAAACAACACUGUCUGCUUGUUGAAUUGCAACUUCCUGUGGCCUUCCCUCCACCUAUACCACUUCCUGCGGCCUUCCCUCCACCAUUCCCUGAGGCUUAUCGUCCACCUUCACCACAAUAUGUGGCCUCCCCUCCAUGGAGUCCACUCUCGUCUGUUGAUGUUGGUAAUGACAAUGAUGUUGACCUCCAAACACUGCUGAAGUUAAUGAGAUGCCAACCAAAUUAACGUGAUGAGGGACAACGUUUAUGAUUGUGCAAUGAGAGGCUUUACGAGAGCCCGCUUUAAUCCGGAGGCAAAAAUAGGCGUGGUUUUUAGGGAUGCUGACGGAAAAGGGGCAGCUGAUGAGGGUGGUCCCUCAAGAGAAUUUCUCCGGCUGUUAAUGAGUGCCAUCCAUUCCUCUGCAAUAUUUGAGGGACCUGAUUGGCAAAAAUGCCUUUCUUGCAUCGCUCAAGCGCUCUAUGGUGGCGUAUACAAGCAGGUGGGACGCAUGAUUGCUGUCUGUCUGGUACAUGGGGGUGUAGAGACACCAUUUUUUCCAGAGAGGCUAUACAGGCAAGUGUGUAGACUACAACCUCCUGUGCCAGAACUGAAAGGAAUAUGACUUCAGAGAGAAGUUGAAGAUCCAGUUAGCACAAACUGUUGACGAGGCACAGGAAGCGGUCAUGGAGGCCUCCGAAACAACUGGUCAUGUUGGGUUCAGUGUGAUACAUUAGUACAUUGGAGGAGAGGGAUGCCCUGGUGGAGUCAGCCACAAAGUUCUACUUAGAAAGCAGGCUACGGGAUGCUCUUGAGCAAUUCAAAAGAGGGUCUGGAGUGUCUACGUCUCCUGCCUUACAUGAAUAGACACUCAAGCCUCUUCAGAGGUUUUCAUCUACGCUGAGAAACCUCUUUUGGCCAAAGACAAAUCUUCUCUCUUCACAGCAAUGCUCUCCCCACCUGGUACCAAUCUCAGAGAAAUAGAGAGCAGAGUUAUGUUUCUGGAGGGUCUGGCUGCUGGAGGUGGAAGGUUAAAUGCAAAACCAUGAUCAAUCAAGUAACACGGACCACAUCAGUAAAAUAUAUCACCUAAACACUCUCACAACUGUGGGACAGUAUUUUAUAGCCUUAUUCUUCCAUGGGCCCCCCAAGAAUGUAAUAGAUCAACUAAAUCCCAAACUACUUUCACUUAGAGUAUUGUGUUCUCCAAUAAGUGUUACUUAUGGACUUUAAUGUCCCCCCUCCCCUUCCCUUCUUUUUUCAGAGGGGAAAGCAUACCCUUUAACCCUGGAGAAGAUUCUCAUUUUCACUUCCGGGGCUUCGGCCAUUCCUAGGCUGGGAUUCCCAGUGGAGCCACAGCUACAAUUCUUACACAAACAAGAGAAUGAGGCUGCCAGGAUGUUCCGGAAGCAAAUACAUGCAGCAUUGUUUUAAGGCUGCCAACACAUCCAACCCUACGCAGCCUUCAGGGAGAAAAUGGAGAGUGAAUUUUACAAUCACCAACAUUUAUUUUUUUGUAUGUAUUUUUCUUAAGUGCAUUGUUGGUUAAGGGCUUGGAAGUAAGCAUUUCACCGUAAUGUCUACACCGGUUGUAUUCGGAGCAUAUGACAAAUAAAAUUGUAUUUGAUUUAAAGGGAAUUCAUUUAAGGGAAUUAUCCAAAAUGUUUAUUGCAUGACUACGUAGUAAAGUUCAGAAUACUGCAGCCAAUGUUAAUUGGUGAUGUGUCCCAAAACGGUUGAUAUUAUGAAAGUUUCCAACAGGAUCGGCCAUCAGCAAAAAAAGUUGGACACAGUAAUACAAAAUGCAGCUUUAAUAAAUGUAUGAUUUCUUAGUGGGUAAACUGAGCAUUAUGCAAAGUAGUGUAUUUUUAUUACCUUUAGUUAACUAGGCAAGUCAGUUAAGAACAAAUUCUUAUUUUCAAUGAUGGCCUAGGAACAGUGGGUUAACUGCCUUGUUCAGGGGCAGAACGACAGAUUUUUACCUUGUC